GAUAUUCUACUUGUUCUACUGCCUUUCAUUCGAUUUCUUUACUUGCUUUUUAGGAUAGAUUUAUUUACUUUCUUUUGCUUUAGUUUAAAUUCGAGAAAAACAACCAACCUUUAAAACCAAUUUAGUCUAGACAUAAAGUUAAAAACCGUAGAAGAAUACCAGGCACAUAAAUCUCUGUGGAUUCGAUCCCUAAAUACUGCAACAGAUUAGCUGUGCACUUGCGGCUUUCUUUUGUUUUGUUAAGGGUAAAACUUGUUCCCUCACGUAGUUGACACACUCAGCACAACCGCAUCAAGGUUUUGGCGCCAUUGCCGGGGAUUUGUUUCGCUGCCUUUUGCUAUUUUUCUUGUUUUAACUUCUAUUCUAGACACCUGAUCUCUAGUUCUUUCUUAAAGUUUUUCUGAACUAUCUUUCCCUUCUUUUGUCUUUCUCUGAAUUGCAUGAAUACCAGGCGUAGACCUGCAGGACACAUUCCAAUUCUAGACGAGAUAGACAGACACGAAAGAGAACUUCGAAGACUUAGACGAACGCAAGGAAUGGCCAACGACGACCAGCCUGGAGAUCCUAUUAAUCGAAAUUUAAAUAUGGACCAAGAAGGGUCCGAACAUGGAGAAAACGAAGAGAAUGAUCACAUAGAAGGUGAUCAUGCUCGAGAGGAUGAAGAAGAGUCCAGAACCGAUGGAAAGAAAGAAGAAACCCCAAUCUUUGUACCUCUGUACAAGGAUAUCGAUCCCAAGCAGCCGCCGUUUAAGGUACCCGAACGAUCACCGUUUCAAAGGCUUACCAAAGCCGAUGAUCCGGGACGUUUUGUUUUCCAGUGUUUCAUUUCAGGAAUCAAGUUUACAGACUGCUUGUGCGAUUCCGGAGCCAAUGUCGACAUCAUAUCUAAGACAUUUGCCGAAAAAUUGGGCAUAAAAACCUUAAGGACAUCGACGGUUAAUGUUAUCUUUGGAGAUUCAUCUCAAAAAGAUACUGAAGGGGCGAUUCAUGAUCUACAAGUUCGAGUGGGAGAUAAGAUUGUUCCAGCAGAUUUCCAAGUUCUGGAGAUGGAUAAAGACAAGGAGAGGCCACUCAUUUUCGGGAGGCCAUUCCUAGCUACGGUGGGAGCAAUUAUCGAUCAUGCAAACCGGCACGCUGUUUUCCUCAAUGUGGACAGAAAAAUGUACUAUCCUACUAUCUUAGAUGAAUUUCCAAGCAAAGGAAACAGGCCAAAAGAGAAAGAAAAGGAGAAGCCGAAAGCUUUUGCAAAGAUCAAGAUCAUCAUUCCACCGAAUGCAACAGAAACUAGUGAAGACCAAAUCCAAGAGCUUAUCGAAAACACAAAAAGGGUUCUGAACAAUAUUAAGGUCCGAAAGAAGAUUAAAGGUAAGAAGACUCCUCUUCAAGGGGAAGAAGUAAAACCUCCACCAACCGGAAGUGAUAAAGGCACAUCAAAUGGAGUGCCAUUCAAAUCAGCCUGAUUCCUCAUGCUUACGUCGAGCUAAACGACUUAAAACAAAAGCGCUUAAUGGGAGGCAACCCAUUUAGGUACUCUUUCUUUUAGUUUUCUUUUCCAUUUUAGAAUUUAUGCUUUCUUUUUCUUUUUAAGUUUUAGGUAUUUUAUAAAACAAAAACACAAAAAAAUUAGAAAAUUAGAAAAACCAAAGAGAAAAAGGUAGGUCUUCAGCUGCUCGGCCCGGCAAAGACGAGAAGAUUGGACAAUAGGCCGCAGGAGGAAGAUCCGCGGUCACAACUGACGGGACCGCGACAAAUGGUGGAUCGACCGCGGCACCGUGAAUGCGACCGCGGCCGAGCCUUCAUCCACCGCGGUCGCGCGUCUUCUGACCGCGGCCGUUGGUCGUUGAGGUUGUGUCGCGGAUUUGUGACGUUUUUCGGUGAUUCCCGGUGUUUCCCGAAAUGUUCCCGGUAAAACCCGAAAAGAUCCUCCGUAAGUUUUAAACUUUCCUAAUGUGUAAACAAGAAAAGGUAAGUUCCCGUAAACUUAAAAAUUUCCAAAAAUUUUCCGUUUUUGCUUCAAAAACGCUUUUUAAAGAAAAAAAACAAAAUUUUUGGAUCAAAACUCUUUCUUCUCUUCUUCUCCAAAAGACUUAGAGAUUUAGGAGAAAGAACAGAUUUUUCAAUUCUUAAGCUUUUUAAAAGAUUCUUGGCUCAAACCUCACUCUUUUUCGAAGCUGAUUUCAAUUAUGCCAUCAAUUCUCUCUUUCCAGCAAGGUAUGAACCUCAAACUCACCAUUCUUACUCGAUUUUGAACUUAAGGUUUUCUUUAAAAACCCAAAAUCUUGGUCUAUUGAUGGUGGAAAUAGCUUAAGGAUGAUAGAUUAUCCAUUUAGGUUAUCUAAAAAUCGAUUUUAGCACCUAGAUUAAGAGGAAUUGAGAUUUUUGAAAUUUGGAUUCUUCAUGCUUCAUAAAAAUCGAAUUUGGAACAGCAAAAUUGAUGAAUUUGACUUAGUCUUGUGUGAUUAGUGAUUAGUAUUAGGUAAUCUUUAGAAUUCACAUGGAAAUUGCUCAUAAAAACUUAUUUUUAGAAGAUUUCUAUGUUGAGGACAUCAAAAAUCCGAAUUUAGUCAUGAACUACUUGAUUUCUCUGAUUUAAUAUCAAUUUUGUUUGCUAAUAGUUUUAAUUAAUCUCUUUAUACUAGCAUUAGUAUAACAGAUCUUAAUGUGUUAAAAUUUGCAACCCAAAUUCACUCUUUUUCCAAGAAUCAUUUCAUUUUGCAGAAAAUGGAUGAAACCAGAUCCCGAAGGAGCCGUCGAACUGGUGGCAGCUCCGAUGACAUUCCCGACGAUGCUACUCUAAGAGAGUACAUGCUGAACCAAGCCAGACCGAGAAGAAGAAGCUAUGUGAUGAGAUUGCUCCAGCACUCGAAGGAAACACGAGCACCUCCCGAACCACAACAAAUUCGAUACAUUGGGAGGGAGACAAACCCGAGAGUGGACUAUGCAAGGCGUUUCAAGAAGCUGAACAUCAAACCCACGCCUUGCAUUGAUUAUCAUACACUUGAGAUGCUUGGAAUCAGAGAGGAUGUGAUCUGGUACAUCGAUGCACUUAUGCUAAGACCCUACUUGGAGCUGAACCUUCCGACUUAUCCUGAGCUAGUCCGUGAGCUUCUAGCGACCGUUACACUCCACCACACGGGAAGGAGGAACCCAGAGCAUCAGAUGACAUCUUGUCAUUCUCUAUCCGCGGACAGCCUUAUUCUCUCACCAUUUCCGAGGUUUGUGAAGCUCUUAAGCUUCCAUACACUGAUGGCAUUUAUCUUGAAGAUGAACCUGAUCUGAACCUGUGGAGAGAGAUGGGUCAUGGAGCCUAUGAUAGUGGGAGAUCUAAGUCAGCCCUCCUUAGCCACCCAGCAGUGAGAGUUGUGCACAAACUCUUAGCGCACACGAUUUUCUUUAGAGCCAACAUGGGAGGCGUUUUGAAGACUGAGCUCAUUACACUUCAGAUUCCGUUUAUGGAUGAUCCACGACUUGCUUGCUUUGCCUGGAUCAUAGCGCAGAAUAUGGUGAAGGUAAAGCAUGAUUUACAUGGUUGCGAUGACGCUACUCCAGCCUUCGGGAGUGCUAUUACAGCGAUACUACAGGCUGUAGGAUUUGAUUUCUCAUCUGAUGAUCCACUUCCCGACGUCUGGUAUGAUCUACUUUAUCUCUCUCGCGAUCACACUAUCUCUCGUGCCGAUUUCGAUCCAGACAGGUUUGGUUACAAGUAUUGCACUGGCACUGAGGAGCACCGAGUCCGCUUACCUUCAGCAUCUAUCCCGAGAUUGAGUACCGGAGGACGCCCUUGAUGGACUCCAGAAUCCGAUGAUUUUCUGCCAUCCGUACCUCGUCUACCAUUCACCAUUGGCCAGUACAUAGUGGCCAAGGCGAGGCGUGAUGCAGCUGCGGCCCGUGCUCAUUUUCAGCCAUCCAUUCCGACCGGCCACACCUCAUCAUCUACAUCAUCCCACACUCAUUCCGACCUGGAGCGCAGGGUUGAGAGACAGGGACGACGCUUUGAGCGCGUUGUAACCUUCCUACAGGAGCAGCACCAGUUCGCAGACGACACUUCAGAGGAUGACUGAUUGAUCAGCACUUCACUACCAUCACGGUUCUAUCAUCAUUUUCUUUUCUUUUAUCUUAUUUCAUUUCGUUUUUAUUCACCAUCUUCUCACCAACUUUUUCACACUGGGGACAGUGUGAUUUAAGUCUGGGGGAGGAUGCCUAUCCGUACUAAUCAUUUUCCUGCUUUGCUUUUAAAUUUCAAGUACUUUUUAAAUUUUAAUAUGUAACCUAUUCGACAUUAAGUAUUUUUCAGGAAUGUUUGACGCAAAACUAUGAUGAUUUAGACCUGCACACUUCUACACUAUGCAUGAUAGCUCAUUUGUGGUUAGCACUAGACUAGGCAGUAGCUAGAGUACUUGCACUACGAACUCCCACCAGAGGACUUCUAUUCAUGGAGAUUCUUUCUGACAGGAUAUACUAGCUCAUUUUAUUUGAACUUAAUAUUGAUAUCUAAUUUUCUCAUCAUUGAUUUUAGGCAGGCAUCGACAUACACAUCUAGGACGUCUUUUACCAUCACUUUUACCACUCUUUGUCGUCCUAGAUGACCAGUUUAUCUUUAUCUGGUACCAUAUCCUAAACCCAAAACUCUUGUUUUCAAUCCUCAUGCAUUCUCUCUUUAGUUUAUAUCAGCAGAUAUGUGCAAAAACGUCGGAGAGAAGAGGAGCGAUGCAGUUUUCAGUCACUCACAAAGGAGACUGAAUGGAAUUGGGAAGGAGGAGUAUUAGAAACAUAAUAAAGCUUUACAAGACAGAUAUUAACUGGUAAAUUCGUGCUCUCUAAGACUCUAUAUCUAAAGGUGUUCCCUUUCUCUAAAAAAAAAAAAAAAAAAAAAAAAAAACGUGAAAAGAGAAAGAGAAACAUAAAGCCUAAUGAGUCUUAGAUUGUCGAAAUUUGUGGAGCAAUGAGCAACCACUAUUCGUUUAAGGAGCUAUUGUUUUGAAAGAUUUACAAAAAUCUAAGUCUGGGGGAGUUUGGAGAGAACCUGAGGAAGAAGACCAUGAAUCUAUGUUAAGAAAAAGUGACUGAAAACUGUGGAUACCAACAGCUUCACUCUCUCUUGCGGUUUUGCAUAAUGUCCUGCACCCUCCAGAUCUUCAGGUAACCCUUAAACACUUUAAGCCACACCCCCAAAAUAAUCCUUCCUUACACCUAGCCUAGAUUGCCUUGCCUAGAUUUUCUAUGAUGAGAACCACCGAAAUUUUAAUGAAUGUUAAGAGUUAGUUGACUGGAAGUUAGAUCUUAGUGCAUAGAUUUCUGCAUGACGGAUUAACGGACUAGUUAUGCCUGUAUUGCUAGUGAGAAUUUUCUAGGCUAUUCCCAAUUGAUGCAUACUGAUUGAUAUUGGUCUAGAAGUUUGGUCUCUGAGAUUUUGUUUAGUUCCUGCGUUUUCAAACCUCUCGCCGAGAUUAGCCUUUGUUUUGUUUGAGGACAAACAAAAGACUAAGUCUGGGGGAGUUGAUAACACCGGAUUUUGACCAUUUUUAUGGAUCAUUUUAAUAUCUUUUACAGGUGUUUUUACUCCAUUUUCAAAGGUUUUCAAAGGAUUUCUAUGUUUCCGGAUUUUAAAAGACUUUUCAGGUAAUUUGGGAUAAAGAGGCACAAAAUGGAACAAAAAGACUCUUUUGGAUAAAUGCAGACCGUCAGAACUCUCAUGGAGAGACGAAGACCUUCUCACCGUCUGAUCACCCCCAAAAUUGGACAACUUAUAGAAGAAUCAACCAGCUUUCAAAUGCACUUGGUUUGGAGACAUUCCAACGGUUGGAUCUCAAGAUAAUCCAUUAGCCCCGAAGCCACGCGGAGUCGGCCAGCAGCUCACGCGACCGCGGCCAGCAACCUAUUUGCCGCGGUCAGAAGCUUCCCGACCGCGGGAAACAAGCCAAUUGCCGCGGUCACAGCACUCCCGACCGCGGCAUUCAAGCUCCGACUUAAAGCCCACUUAUCUGAAGCCCAAAGUCAUUCCCAGCCUCAAUUCCGGAACCCUAGAGACCAUGGAGCAUUGGAGACUAUAAAUACAUGUCAUUUUGGUCGUUUUUAGAGAGAGCUUUACACACUUUGCAGAAACCCUUUUUCCUUUAGCCGUUUUUAUGAGAUUUUUGUAGAAGAUUGUUCAAGUCCGAGUUCUUCAAUAGAGAAGCUUUCUUUAUCUCUUUUCUUUACUGUUUUUCAUUACUUUUAUUGAAACCAAUGAUGAUGUCGAACUCAGCCAUGUCUGAGUAGAUCCCGAGUUGGGCUUAGGGUUCCCGAAAGGGGCUCUCAUAAUCGAUUAAGACAUCUAGGUUUAUAGAUCUGGGAUUUCGACCUGUUCUCUGUUUAUUCUUGUUCUUAUUGCAUGUAUGCUUGAUUGAUCACCUAGUAUCUGAUCUAGAUAGUUAGUGUUGCGAAAGUUUUCAUUAAGUAUCAGCCCUAGAAUGAAACAGGCGAUUUUUCCGUAGGAGUGGAAACCUACCUGCGGUGAGAUCGUGAGUAUUGACGAGUCUUAUGCAGCUCUUGCGUUCUCUCCCUUCCAGGGCCAGAGUGGAAACCUACUGGUCAGGGUUGCGAGAAACAGUUGGUUAUGAUCACGACAGUGACGUAGUCAUACCGCCGUACUCUAGCUCUAGAACCCAUAUAUUGUUAUCCGUCAAUCCCAAUCUAUCUACCCUAAUGUUAAAACCGAUUAUGAUCCCUUAGAGUUCCCAAAAGCUCAGCGUUUUUAGCCAUAGUUUACAAUUUCCAUCGAUUUUUACAUGCUUUCUUAGACCUGCAUUUUAAUUUCCUUAGUUCGUUAUUUACUUGCUUUAUUUACAUUUCAUGCGAUAUUUUACUUGCCUUAUCUUUGUUUAGUUCGAUAUUCUACUUGUUCUACUGCCUUUCAUUCGAUUUCUUUACUUGCUUUUUAGGAUAGAUUUAUUUACUUUCUUUUGCUUUAGUUUAAAUUCGAGAAAAACAACCAACCUUUAAAACCAAUUUAGUCUAGACAUAAAGUUAAAAACCGUAGAAGAAUACCAGGCACACAAAUCUCUGUGGAUUCGAUCCCUAAAUACUGCAACAGAUUAGCUGUGCACUUGCGGCUUUCUUUUGUUUUGUUAAGGGUAAAACUUGUUCCCUCACGUAGUUGACACACUCAGCACAACCGCAUCACCUUUGCGGGAUCAAUCUCCUCCAGAUGCCUUCCAUUGCUGGACAAUCACGCAAAAUGUGCAUAAUCGUUUCGUCGCCACUCUUACAUACCUGACAUAAACCCGAGUCACUAAGAUGUCUCCUUUGACGCUCAACAUUCGUCAUCAACACUUGGUGAACACCCAACCAAACAAAGCUCCGCACUCUCUCCGGUACAACCAAGUUCCAAAUCUGCUGAAACAGAGAGCUCAAAUUCGGUCUCGGUGUAUCAUCCGUAGUCAACUUCGAAUAAGACGACUUCACUGUGAAAAGCCCAUCAGAAUUUCCUCCCCAAGCCAUCAUAUCUUCCAAUGCAGCUACAUUAUCAAUCACCACCGAACCAAGCUGUAGAAGGACAUCCACGGAUACAUACGGCCUGAUAUUUUGAGUCAACCCGUCCCAUGCUGCCAUAAAUCACAAGCCCGCAGUUCUUCUGAACCAGCCGGUAAUGGCAUAAUAGUUACCUCCCGUAGGGGUUUCUUCAACAACCAUGCGUCCUCCCAAAGUCGAAUCUUCUUACCAUCGCCGAUAGCCCAGCUCAUUCCCGGGAUCACCACCUCUCGUAGCCCCACGUUCACACUUCUCCAUGUCGAAGACCAAUUACUUUAGGAACCCUCCAAGAUGGAUCAUGAACAUCCUUCACCUUGUAUUUGCAUCUUAUAACUCUUGCCCACAAGCUUUGACGAUCAUUUAAUAAUCUCCAUCCUAGCUUGGCAAUAAGAGAUUUAUUCAUGUCAGACGCCGCUCUGAUCCCUAAGCCCCCUUCACACUUCGGCCGACACACCUUCUUCCAACUCAAUAAAUGUUGAUUUCUUUUCCCAUUCUCGCUUCCCCAAAGAAAAUUCCUCGAAGCUUUCUCCAAACUUUCUAACAUCGAUUUCGGUAAUAGAAUCGUGCUCAUGGUAUGAACCGGAAUCGAUGAAAGAACCGAUUUAGUCAUCGUAAUUCUCCCCGCGAGACUCAAGCAUCUACCUUUCCAACCCGCCAACCUUGAAGAGACCCUCUCCAAAACAUCUCCAAACGUGGUUUUAUUGAUCCGUUUCUGCAAGAUAGGCAUCCCGAGAUAUUUCCCCAACUCCCGCGUCGACCUAAUACCACUCUCAUCACUUAUUGCUUUCCCUAAAUCACGGCUAACAUUGCUCGAGAAAAAGAUUUUUGACUUCUCCAAACUAAUCUUUUGAACCGAAGCAACACAAAACCUCUCCAACACUCGCCGGAUAACCCUUAUUUGCGCAACCGAGGCUUCAGCAAACAAGAUGAGAUCAUCCGCAAAGCAUACAUGAGAAAGCUUAGGACCCCCUCGAGACAAGGUGAUCGGUUUCCAACCACCCGAACCUAUCUCCUGAUCAAUCAAGUGACACAGCCUCUCAAGACACAAGACAAAGAGGUACGGUGAAAGCGGGUCACCCUGUCUUAAACCCCUCAUCGGUUUGAAUGACUCUGAUUUCUCCCCAUUCCAAAGUACGUUCAUAGACGGGCCCGUGACGCAUUUCAUGAUCCAGGAAAUCCACUUCUCAGGAAACCUCGCUGCAACUAAUGUAUCUACUAAGAAAUCCCAACGGAUUCGAUCAUAUGCUUUCUCGAGAUCCAGCUUAAGCAACAUCCAUCCUUUACGCCCUUUCUUCCUCCGCAUCGAGUGAACCGCUUCCUGAACAAUAAUAAUGUUAUCAGAGCUUAACCGACCCGGUAUAAAGCUGGAUUGAGCAGGUCCUAUAAGCUGCGGCAUCACCACUUUCAUUCUCGUCACCAACACUUUAGUUAUGAUUUUAAAGAGCACAUUACACAAGCUGAUCGGCCGAAAUUGUGUAAUAGUUUCUGGUUUUCCCACUUUCGGAAUCAAAACAAGCAGCGCAUCAUUUAAUCCUUCCUGCAAAAUUCCCUUCUCAAAAAUUCCAACACAAACCUCUCCACCGAGCUACCAACAACAUCCCAACACUCUUGAUAGAACCCCUGUUGAAAUCCAUCCGGUCCAGGAGCCUUAAACUUCCCCAUACUCCUUAAUGCCUCCUGAACUUCCAAACAAGUAAAUGGCCUAUUCAAACCAUGAGAAUCAUGCCGAGCCAACACCGCAAAACCCGCGGAUGGUAACAACUCCACCACCGGUUCAACAUCAACCAUAGAGUAAAGCCUUUUGUAAUACUCCACCGCCAUAUUCUCUAGCUCUUCCGGAUUUGAAAUCCACCUCCCAUCAUUACCUUUCAACAUCUCAAUUCGAUUUCGCCCCCUCCGAAUAAUCGUUGUAGUGUGAAAGAACUUCGUGUUGCGAUCUCCAAGGGCUAUCCCUUUCUCUCUUGAUUUUUGAAACCAAAGGAUUUUCUCUUGUUCUAAAACCAAAUCGAGCUCCUUAAUUAACUCACUCUCCCUUUCCAGCAACUCUGUGGUUUGAAUAAUAUCAAUCUGGUCUUGAACUUGCUUCACUUCCGCAAGUAAAUCAUCCUUACGUUUAUGCACGUUUCCAAACACAUCCCGGUUCCAUCUUUUAAGCUUGUCUCGCAACCUUUUCAAAGCUUGUGGCGUUGAUAUAUCAGGAUUCCAAGAAUUUCACAGCAACUCCUUAAAACUCUUAUGUGUUAUCCAAGCCGCUUCAAAGCGGAAGGGCCUCCUCU
rnacentral:lncRNA from 1 species